CACUGUGGCAGGAGGAGAAUGAGAUGAGGGUUUAUCGAUGCCUCGUUCAUUUAUUGUGUAGUAACAGUUAAUGUAGAUUGAUUCAGGUGAUUUUACACCUGCCCAUCUGAGCACUUCAGCACCAGUGAGCUCGAGCUCACAUGAUGAACUGACUUUUAUAUUCUUCUGUUCUCUGUUUGUGUAGAAAUAACACUGACUCACUCUAACAUCUGCUGGAGUCUCACAGCUGAUCUUCACUGAGCUGGACUCUCUUAUGGGAUCUGGAGAUACUUUCACAGUAGGAGAUUCUGAAACAACACACACAAAAAAAUGGUUCUUCAGCGGUUAUUUGGGGUGGGUAAGGUGCUAUAUAACACUGCUUAUGUAUAUAGAACCCAUUAAGCUGCUGUAUAGCUCUUUAAAGGUUCUCUAACUCUCUCUUAGUCUCUUAGUUUAGUUGGUGAAAGGAUUAAAAAACAACAUUAAGAUACAGUGUAUUUCCUGAAAAUAACAUGGUUCUGAACCUUUUUGCUCCCAAGCACCCCCAUAAGGAAAUAUUCCAGGGCCCCCACAGAAGAAUUUUUGCCUCAGAAAAGCAUAAAUUAUUAUUAUUAUAAUUAGUAGAAUGGGGUUCCUCUUAUGGUUCUACAUAACACUAUUUGACAAAAUGCGCUGUAGCACCUUUAAAGCAUCUAUAUAGCAAGUGGUUCCCCCAUGAUUACAAGCCAAUGAACCACUAGUGCUAUUUAGCACCAUUUUUAUUUAGAGUGUAUAUUACAUCUGCUCGUGGUCUAUGUGUGCAAACACAAUAAUAUUCUGAUAUUAAUUAUAUGUAUUUGGGUUCUAAAGUCUGAGUAAGACAACUGCUGAUUAAAUACAAAAUAUUCUACAUUUAAACGAUUGUCAGGUAGGUCCACAUGGAGCACUAUUGAUGUAGAAAAAUAUUAGACAAAGACACUUUGUUCACUACAAAUGUGAACAUACAGUAUUUAAUUAACAUUAAACAACAGAGAUCACUUACUGUAAGACUGAACCUCCAUCAGGAGCUGAAACACUAUGAUGAUGAACAACUCCAUUACAGCGAGAGUGAGAGAACAGACGAGACUCACACAAUGGGUGAAUUAGGAAGUAACACCUCAGACCACAGGAAACGGUGUUCUUUGUGCAGUCGGUUUUAUGAAGAUGAACAUGAUUAUGACACUCACAGUUGUGUGCGCUGUAACAUGUCACUGAAACUUGACACUAUACAGCGCUUUUCAAACAGUGGGUUGUAAGUUUAAUGAAGUUUUAUGUGGACAUAACUUAGAUUUACGAAUUUCACUAUUGAUUUUACCGGUGUAGUAGGAUUCAUGAACAAAUCAAUUAAAAAUUAAUAUUAUUAAUUAUAACAAUGAAUAGUUAUGAAUAGUUCAAAAGACUCACAAACUCAGAUCCAACAAAAUAAAAUGAUCCCGAUCAUGGAAAAUAAAAGCGGA
ensembl:lncRNA